UUUAUUAAAUCCAUGGCUGCAAGAUAAAAAUUCUAAUUUACUGAUUAAGAUAGACCUUCUAAGUUGCUGACUUUAUUUUUUGGGGUUGCGUUGAAUUAAUAAUGUUGGUAAUUACAUUAAAUUAAUUUUAUAUGUAAUUUGAAAUUAAAUCCCAAUGUUAGUGGGUUCAAAAUAAAAUUCAAGUUGUAAUUACUUAAAGAAAUUGAAUAUGUAACUUAUUUUUUCUCCACUGUAACUUUUGAUUUCAAGUUCCCUCCCCUACCCACUUAACUAGCCCGGGCAAAUUCAUAUAUGGUGCAUUGCUUGGUGGACUUGCAAGCUUAUGUAAAAGACAUUUCAAGAUAAAGGAGGAAUUCAAGAGUUCAACCACUGUAAGCCUUGAAUGGCUACACUUGACCCCAAAACUGAUGGACGUCAUUUUUUCAAGGGGAGGAGCUAAAGGAGUGAGAAUCAGGCAGAUCAAGUACAUGCUUCUUGAGCACAAUUCAACUGAAAUACACAGAGAAGUAGCCAUCUGCUGCCUUAUCACAUACCU